rnacentral:lncRNA from 1 species
CCCGCUUGUGCCUGCAGGCCCUCUUGGUCAAUCAACAGCGUGGAAUCGUGUCCCUGAGCCCGGUGUGGAUGCUGGAGGUGUGACUGGAGGUGUAGGUGAUCCAGCUUCCCCUCUGCGAUCCAGGAUGCGUGGGAGUCCGUCAUCUCGCAUGGAAGUGUGGCCAGGGAAGGCGUUGCCAAGUCCUCAGCUCUUUCCUGUGCUGGAGCCCCGCUGGAAUCCCAGGGGUCCGGAAAGAGGAAAGGAUACAUCUAGAAGAGGGAAAUACUCCCCGAGGUCAUCUCCUGGCUAAAGGAACUCCUGAAGGAAAUGGAGAAGGCAGCGCGUGGAAGUGACCAACCAUCUGCACAGGACACGCUGCGGUUUGGCAGCCAUCCCACACUGCCAGUCUCGGCCAGAGGAGCACAGACAGCGCCGACAACUGGCAUGCCAGGGGUGGAUGCUGGGAAAAACA